GAUGAACGCUGGCGGUAUGCUUAACACAUGCAAGUCGAACGGUCACUUCGGUGAUAGUGGCGGACGGGUGAGUAACGCGUGAGAAUCUGUCUUCAGGUCGGGGACAACAGUUAGAAAUGACUGCUAAUACCGGAUGUGCCGAGAGGUAAAAGAUUUAUUGCCUGAAAGAGAGCUCGCGUCAGAUUAGCUAGUAGGUGGUGUAAGAGACUACCUAGGAGACGAUCUGUAGCUGGUCUGAGAGGACGAUCAGCCACACUGGAACUGAGACACGGUCCAGGCUCCUACGGGAGGCAGCAGUGGGGAAUUUUCCGCAAUGGGCGAAAGCCUGACGGAGCAAUACCGCGUGAGGGACGAAGGCUUUUGGGUCGUAAACCUCUUUUCUCAAGGAAGACACAGGACGGUACUUGAGGAAUAAGCAUCGGCUAACUCUGUGCCAGCAGCCGCGGUAAU
rnacentral:rRNA from 1 species